AUAUUUGUAGUGUAAUAGACACCUUGCUUUUUCACGGCAAAAAUGUAAACCCUUAUUUACCAAAUAU
rnacentral:tRNA from 1 species